GCAACUCAAUUUAGACAAAUGAAGCAUGGAGUUGAGGAAGAAUCAAACUGAUAAAUAAAGUUUCCAUUUUCCUAGUUCAAAUGUCUUUUAAGGGCAAAAGUCAUCCAAUCCUUCAACCCCAUCAAAACAAGCUGUAAAUAAAAAAGAAACAUUGAGUGUAUCUCUUGCAUCUCCGUAUAUUCUUUAACAUUGUCUGUCAAGCAAAGAAAUUCAAUGCCCAUCAAUUAAAAAUGUAUUAAAUGAUAACUACAGCUCCUAACAAACUGAAAAUAAAACUGGUAGCUACCAUUUAACUUCAAAACAGAACCACCACACAAACCCAAAAAAUAACCUAAAAAUUAUACUUUCUCUACUCAUUAGAAUGCUGAGUAAGAUGGCACCACAAAUAAAAUAAAUUCUUGAUU
rnacentral:misc_RNA from 1 species